CCCUUCUCUUCGGAGCAUCGGAGACAGGUGGUGCAUGGUUGUCGUCAGCUCGUGUCGUGAGAUGUUGGGUUAAGUCCCGCAACGAGCGCAACCCCUAUCUUCAGUAGCCAGCACGAAAGGUGGGCACUCUGGAGAGACUGCCAGGGACAACCUGGAGGAAGGUGGGGAUGACGUCAAAUCAUCAUGCCCCUUAUGACCAGGGCUACACACGUGCUACAAUGGCGUAAACAAAGGGAAGCGACCACGUGAGUGUAAGCGAAUCCCAAAAAUAACGUCUCAGUUCGGAUUGUAGUCUGCAACUCGACUACAUGAAGCUGGAAUCGCUAGUAAUCGCGAAUCAGAAUGUCGCGGUGAAUACGUUCCCGGGUCUUGUACACACCGA
rnacentral:rRNA from 1 species